rfam:Anopheles stephensi strain SDA-500 unplaced genomic scaffold supercont1.166, whole genome shotgun sequence.
CAAACGGUUCUUUUCAGGACCACCAAAAGAUUACUAAAAGAAUUUGU